rnacentral:tRNA from 1 species
GCCCCCGUAGCCCAAUUGGCAGAGGCCCAUGAUUGAGGGUCAUGGAUGUGCAGGUUCGAGUCCUGCCGGGGGCA